GUUCCAUAUGGUAGUCACAAGCCUGUGGGACUAUUGGGCACCUGACGACUGGCUAGUGCAACUACAGAACUGAAUUUUCAGUUUUAUUUGAUGUUGAUUAAAUUCACAUUAAAAACUGACUAUCUAUUAGAAGGCUUUGAAGUAUGUUUGGCACAACUUUAGCUGGUGAAUCUACCUUUUUUAACUGUAAGUGUAUGAAUUCUAAAUAUAAGAUCAAGAAUUUUCAAUGCAAAUUUAGCGUCCAGAGCUGUGCAAAAGGAAACUUCCAUCCAGACUGUCUGAAUUAUCCAAAAAUUCUGAACUGAUGGCAUCCAAAUGAAUAAGACUUUACAGAACUGCACUUGGAGAGUUGAUUGGAUUUGUCAGUUUUCCUGUGGAUAGAAAGUCCUGGGUGGCUUGACUGAAAGUAUGCUAGAACAUAAAUAAUCACCAGAUUUCCAGAGGCUUCAUGCUCUGACGUGAUGAAAGAUCUGACCCAGGAAUUUCAAGUUCAUCAGUGGGGUGGGGUGUGUGUGGGGUAGCCAGGAGGCUUCCCAACCCCAGCUUCCGUCUGCCCCCAUUGGCUGGACUCCAGUUACUCUCAUGCUUGAAGGGUUGGGUCAGUGCUGCAGUUCCCUAGUGGAUCCAUCUUCCCUUACAAGGAAAUGGUUUGUGCUUUUUUCUGGAACUUGAGGUGUGUGAAGUGUUUAUGGUUUAUUCUUAGCAGAGUUUUGAAUGGGCAUCAGUACCCACUUAUUCAUUUAAUGGGUACUAACUGAGCACCUACUGUGUGCCUGGCACUCUCCUAGGCACUGGGGAUGUUGGGGGAUAGGCCACACCAACUCUAUCCUCUUGGGAAUUCCCACAUUGUUUUGAAUUAUGUGACACCCACUCCUGCCCUAGGUCACUUGGACUCAGAGGCAAGGAUUGUAUUAGAAAUAAUCUCUUCCAAUCUUCUCAUUUGACAGAUGGGAAGACAAAGGUCCAGAGAGAAGGAAGGGGCUGGCUCAAAGUCACAUAGUAGAUUAGUUACAAAACCUGGAGAAGGAUCCAGUUUUCUUGCUUUCUAACCCAAAGCUCUUUUUCUUGUACCAUGAUGCCUCUCACAGUUCAUUCAAUUACUCUUUGCUGAGCCCUCACGAGGUCUGUGUUAUGUGCUGGACGAAACUCAAGAGAGGUCACUCAAGAAACUGGUGAUCCAAACCGGAGGUGAUGGAUCGUUAAACUGUUAGUUGGGAAAUGUGGAGAGGAGAGUCUAGAUGUGGGAAUCAGAUAGGGUUGGAUUUAAAUCCUGGUGUUUCAUUCCCUGAUAGUGUUCUUUGGGGCAAGUUAUUUAGCUUUUAUAAGGCCUCAGUUUCUCAUCUUUGAGAGAAGAGUAUCGAUAAUAAUUCCUACCUAUGAGUAUUGGGAAAAGAAGCAAUAAUAUAUGGAAAAUAUUUUGCAAACUGCCUGGCACAAAAGAGGGAACCCUGCAUGGUUGUCAUGAAUCAUAACUGCUAUGAUAAAUGCUGUAGGUAGUUAUAUGUAGUGUUCUGGAAAUACAUAGGAAGGAGCAGUUAAUUAUGUCCCCAGGCAAGGAUAAGAAAAAGGGGCUCUUUCUUUUGAUUGGAUUUUUCUGCCUGAUUUGUGGAUGGGGAGGGUAUAUAUUUUAUGGCUGAAAUCUCUGGGCAGGCAUUUCUACUCUAAGAAGUUCAUUUUCCUAUAAGGAGUGACUGCAAAGACAAAGCUGCAAAUGGAUAUAAGUGCAGAAUGGGACCCUGCCAUGGCUGACCGGCCAGAUAACAGGCUUUCUUUUCUUUUUUUUUUUUUUUUAAAUUAAUUUAUUUAUUCAUGAGCGAUAGAGAGAGAGGGAGAGACACAGGCAGAGGGAGAAGCAGGCUCCAUGCAGGGAGCCUGAUGUGGGACUCGAUCCUGGGUCCCCAGGAUCACACCCUGGGCUGCAGGCAGCGCUAAACUGCUGUGCCACCGGGGCUGCCCGAUAACAGGCUUUCUUAAUGGCUGUGCCCACUUGUUCCAAGUACAAGUGCAACCCAUGUCCAGAGGAUGAUCCAAGACACAGAAGUUCUUAAAAGCCUUAUGAAUUAUCAGAGAUCAAAUGUGUUGAAUCAUCCAGGAUUACAUAAUUCUUUAAAUGUUGGGAUGCUUUGAAAAUUGCUAAUGGUAUAGAGGUCAUUUCUUGGUGAUAUUCAAGCACUGGGUAUUGACCAGCAUUUCCCAAAGUAUGCUUUGUGGAACACUAGACCAAUGACAUGGACUGAGGAACUUUGGGCAAAAUGUAUACCCAGAUAUUCCCAGCAUACCUUAGAGCAAAUGCCCUGUAUGAUCCAUGAGGAAAGAAUUCAAUUUAUGUUUUUAAAACCAGUAGAAUUUUCUUUAAUCCCUAGAUUAUAAGGUCUGUGAGUACAGGAAUUAUAUCUCUCUUUUCCUCUAUUAUAUCCCAGCAACUAGCACAAUUUCUGGGAUGUAGUGUCCACUUAAUACAUGUUUAUUAAAAAUAAUUAUAUAUUUCCCGAACUUGCUUGGCCACUGAAAUUCCCUUUUUGUCCACAGUAUACCUGCCAGCGUUUUGCAUAAAUAAAGGAAAGUUUCCUUCAAAUCCAAAUAGCAAAAUUUGUUCCAGGUGGGGCUAUAAAGAUGUUUUAGCAUGGAAUUGAAGGGAGGGGAUUGUGGAUUGGUGGGGCUCCAGACCCCACCCCCUCAUCUCAACCAGAGCAUCCUUGCCUUCAUGCUAACUGCUUUAUAGAUUAGGAUUUCUUUUGAAUUAAGAGUUAUAUGUUUAUAGCACACUUGAAAUAUACUGUUCUAGAAGGAAUUACAUACCUGGGGGAUGUUAUAAUUGAAGGAAACAGCCAAGGUUGGGCUUGACAGAUUUAGCUAGAUGUGUUUUAAGAAAAAAAGUAACACCAAGAUCCAUUUGUUUAUCGAUCCAUUCAUUCACUUACAUUUGUGGAAUGUCUCUCUAUAUCAGGCAUAUCAUGAAGAUGCAGGGAAGAAUGACAGAAAAGAGCUCUGCCCUCAAGGAGCCUACAGUUUGGGGGGCAGAGGGAUACUGGUUACUGAACCAUUAGACAAUCAUAUGACAAGCAAGAUUUCCUAGAGAGACACACAGUGUGAAGAUGGUAUACAGUGAGAUCAAAGUGAGGGCACUAACAGCAAGUUACUGGUAGAGGAAGGUCUGUCCUGGGAGGAGCCACUUGAAUUCAGACCCAAACCACAUCCGAGGACCAAAAAGGAAGGUGUGGAGGGGACAGCAAAUGCAAAGAUAUUGAGGCAGGAACAAAAUUGGCAUGCUCAAAGGAUAUAAAGCAAACCAGUGUGGCCAGAGGACAGCAAGCUAGGGAGCAAACUGAAUGGAAGAUACUAGCAGUGGACUGCUUCUGGCUCACUUUUUUCCCAGUGCUGGGCACUGUGUCUAGCAAAGACCAGUUAUCAUGGAUAUUUGCUGAAUGUACACAUUAAUACAGUUAAUUAAUUGCUCUCCUUCAUUCGUGUUCUCCACUAUCUUUGGUUCCCUUG